rnacentral:rRNA from 1 species
GAUGAACGCUAGCGGCAGGCUUAAUACAUGCAAGUCGAGGGGCAGCACAGAUAGCAAUAUUGGGUGGCGACCGGCAAACGGGUGCGGAACACGUACACAACCUUCCUUUUAGUGUGGGAUAGCCCAGAGAAAUUUGGAUUAAUACCACAUAGUAUAUUGGAGUGGCAUCACUUUGAUAUUAAAGAUUUAUCGCUAAAAGAUGGGUGUGCGUAUGAUUAGGUAGUUGGUAGAGGUAACGGCUCACCAAGCCUUCGAUCAUUAACUGGUGUGAGAGCACGACCAGUCAAACGGGCACUGAGCAACGGGCCCGACUCCUACGGGAGGCAGCAGUAAGGAAUAUUGGUCAAUGGACGGAAGUUUGAACCAGCCAUGCCGCGUGAAGGAUGACGGCCCUCUGGGUUGUAAACUUCUUUUAUGUGGGACGAAAAAGGGCCAUUUUUGGUCAACUGACGGUACCAUAGGAAUAAGCACCGGCUAACUCCGUGCCAGCCGCCGCAGUAA